UACGGGGGGAGCAAGCGUUGUUCGGAAUUACUGGGCGUAAAGAGUGUGUAGGCGGUGUUCCCAGUCUGUUGUGAAAUCUCCCGGCUUAACUGGGAGGGUGCAGCGGAAACUAGAAUGCUAGAGGGUGGGAGAGGUAAGCGGAAUUCCUGGUGUAGCGGUGAAAUGCGUAGAUAUCAGGAGGAACACCGGUGGCGAAGGCGGUCUGCUGGGGUAAUGCUGACACUGAUGCGCGACAGCGUGGGGAGCAAACAGG
rnacentral:rRNA from 1 species